rnacentral:rRNA from 1 species
AUUGAACGCUGGCGGCAGGCCUAACACAUGCAAGUCGAACGAGUCGCGGACGGGAGAGUAAUGUCUGGGACACUUCCUGCUGGAGGGGGAUAACUACUGGAAACGGUUGCUAAUACCGCAUACCAUCGGAUGUGCCGAGAUGGGAGUAGCUCGUGGGUGGGGCAACGGCUGACAAAGGCGACGAUCGCUAACUGGUCUGAGAGGAUGACCAGCCACACUGUAACUGAGAGACGGUGCAGACUCCUACGGUAGGCAGCAGGGGGGAAUAUUGGACAAUGGGCGCAAGCCUGAUGCAGCCAUGCCGCGUGUAUGAAGAAGGGCUUCGGGUUGUAAAGUACUUUAAGUGUGGAGGCGUUACUAGCAGAAGAAGCACCGGCUAACUCCGUGCCAGCAGCCGCGGUAAUAC